rnacentral:lncRNA from 1 species
UUUUUCUACCUUCGAUAAUUGAGAGUACUGCCUCUCAAAUUUCCUUAGUAGCUCUGUUGCUUGUAAAUUCUUAUUGGGCCAUUCAAUCCAUCCCAGAACCAGCUUCUUAGUAACACGAUCAGCAUCUUCCAAGAAAUAUUCGUCUUUCAAUGCAUGUGAAAAAACCUCCAAUGAAUUCCCAUAACAAUCAGUAAUCGAUGUAAUAUGGUCUCUUAUCUCCGGU